AGUGUGACUGUGGAGAUGGGGAUUGUGUACUUGGUGCUGAUGGUAAAACUAAGCCUUGUAAUUGCGAAGAGAAUAAGAAGUUGAAGGAAUACAAUGGGAUCUGCAAAAAGUGUGACUGUGGAGAUGGGGAUUGUGUACUUGGUGCUGAUGGUAAACCUAAGUCUUGUAAUUGCGAAGAGAAUAAGAAGUUGAGGGAAUAUAAUGGGAUCUGCAAAAAGUGUGACUGUGGAGAUGGGGAUUGUGUACUUGGUGCUGAUGGAAAACCUAAGCCUUGUAAUUGCGAAGAGAAUAAGAAGUUGA